rnacentral:piRNA from 1 species
CAAGUGACAGUGACGAGU